AGAAACUUAGGAUAAUUACUUAAACCAAGAGCCUUCAAAGCUCAAAAUAUGGACUAACCCCCAUAGUUUCU
rnacentral:tRNA from 1 species